CUGACGAGCGGCGGUAGGGCGAGUAAUGCAUAGGAAUCUGCCCGGUAGUGGGGGACAACCUGGGGAAACCCAGGCUAAUACCGCAUACGUCCUACGGGAGAAAGGGGGCUCCGGCUCCCGCUAUUGGAUGAGCCUAUGUCGGAUUAGCUAGUUGGUGAGGUAAUGGCUCACCAAGGCAACGAUCCGUAGCUGGUCUGAGAGGAUGAUCAGCCACAUCGGGACUGAGACACGGCCCGAACUCCUACGGGAGGCAGCAGUGGGGAAUAUUGGACAAUGGGGGCAACCCUGAUCCAGCCAUGCCGCGUGUGUGAAGAAGGCCCUCGGGUUGUAAAGCACUUUCAGCGAGGAAGAACGCCUAGUGGUUAAUACCCAUUAGGAAAGACAUCACUCGCAGAAGAAGCACCGGCUAACUCCGUGCCAGCAGCCGCGG
rnacentral:rRNA from 1 species